UUCCCUGCUCUGUUCCCUGCUGCUGCAUCGUAUUGUUUCUGACACUGUUCCUGUCUCUUCGCUGUCCGUUACAAUGAAAUGUUUUACUCCCCGUACCUGCUUCGGAUACAGUUGCUAUCUACCUGAUGACGAGGUUCAUCAACAAGGUGCUGCAAGCGAUGGUGUUUGCCAGUGUCAGUGUUUGGCUACACAGCCUGCUUUCUGGUGGAUGGUUUUCAGUCAGGACAACUGGGGUCCCAAAGACCACCGCUCAGUUCUACAGGCAGGUCGUAAAGGACAACGGUUUCCCUGGUGAUGAGACCACCAGAGGUCAAAGGGUGUUACCCAUGUGACUUCCACUGGGGCGUGGCCGACUCAACCGUACAGGUCCAUUUCCACCCCUUCUCCCCUCAAUUCUUGGACCCCCAUCUGUACAGCUGGAACCUGACAGGGGACAGGGCGCUGUAUCCUGUCCAAGGGGUCAAGCUCCACACCAGGAUGAUUACCUGGCCAUCUGAGGUCACCUGGGCUUCUUUGAGUCCACAGGGGCAUCUCACUACCGCUUCGCUCUAAACUGGUCCCUCAUCCUGCCCCAUGGAGAUCUGUUUAAUGUGCACACAGAGGCCCUGAGGAUUCUAUCGCUGUCUCCUGACUGAGCUCCGCAAGCAGGGCCUGGAGGCCAUGGUCAUGCUCUACUACCCCAUGAACAGAGCCCCUCUGCUGGGCUUGCCUGGCCCGGUGCAUGGCUCCAGAGGCUGGCUGAACCGGAGCACGGUGGAGGCCAGGGCUACAGGGCUGGGCCCUGGGUGAGUUAUUGGAUCACCGUCAAUGAGCCCAACAGACUGAUGGAGUGGAGAGGCGCAGCAUCUGGCAGCCCAUAGCCUCCUGCUGGCCCACACUAAGGCCUGGAGGCUAUAUGAGAGGGAGCAUCUCAGCCAACAGAGGAUGUGUCCCUGGCCCUGCACGCAGACUGGGUAGAACACAUCAACCCCUUCCUGGAGUCACAUGCAACCACCGCUCAGAUUUCUGUGUUUUUUUUUUAACCUUUAUUU